CGUUAUCCGGCGCGAAGGUGGUGCGCUUGAAAGAUCAUUCCUCCUUCCUUACUACCGUUAGCGAUCGAGUGCUUUACCAGCAGUUUGUUUUGUGUCGUCAUGUUUGGAGCAACUUGGAAUGUCGACCUGAUUGGGUGUAGUCAAUCGAUGCGUUACACACGCUUCCCCCGAAUCUGCCACGGUCAGUUGUCGAGUGCGUCGAUCGAUUUAAUUGAGAUCUUAGUGCGUCUUCUGACUGGUAAUCUUCGUGCUAGGUGCUGUAACAGUUGCUUACACGGUUGGAUGCCUUCCCAUCCUAAUAAAACGGGGGUUUCAAUGUUUUUGUGACCAAUUAAUGACUUAUUUGCGGUACACACACCUUUCGCAGCCUUGUGCCGUAUUCCUAACACCGAAUCAACUGUGAUAUUUGGUCCUACACGCUUCCUUCCAUUUUACAUUGUAUCCGUUUGUCUGUCUGGUAUACAUACCAGCAGAAAUUGCUUCCCUCGGUUUGGGUAUCAAUCAUCUCCGCCGUGGCUCUUGUUUCCCAUAGUGGUGGAGGAAAUGGUAGGUUGGGCUCUAUUGCUAGUGCUGUGGCCGAUCCCACGGAACGCGCUAUUCGUCGGGUUUCGUCGAAGAAGUCGAAUCAUUAAACUGCCAAAUUGGCUUAUUAACGUUAAUAUGGUUGAAGCAUCGUACACGUCGGAAGACCCUAGUAGUAGGUGCCCCUCGUUUUUUUCUCGUUUGCCAGCCAACAAGCCAUCGUCCGGAGAACGGACUGCCAGCGAAGUAUCGCAGUUGGUCGUGUCUCGUAGAAGGAAAAGCUUGAUUGCAUUGGAAUGACCAUAUUAGCUACGGUCAGCGAUCGGUUCUACCAUUUACAGGCUGCUGUUUACAGGCUUGUCCUACCCUGGGGUCGCUGCUUUACACUGUUGAACUAGAUCCAACAAAAGGCCCUCCCCGGGCCUCCUUGUGGGUUCGUUGCUUGAAGAAGUGGUUCCAGCGGAAAAUUGAAGCAACUGAAAUGGUUCCUUUUAUUUUGGUUUGGCGGUGGCUCAUGUUUUGUUGCUUGUUUUUGUCGACUGGUUGCCGAAGUUGUGCUUCAAAAUAGAGCACAUUGCAUUGACCGGCAGGGCUUGAGGGUAAUGUGUAUAUGUUGCAGUUUUUUGUUAUUGUUGUUAUCGAAACAUCUGUGUAAGCACAAAAUGUGUGUCGAAACUGCUGCUUCAACAGUGACUCAGACAGUAUCGUCGGGUCUCUUUACGGCCGUUGCUAUGUUAGGUUCUACUUGUAUGCGAACUGAUCGUGUUUAGAUCGGCAUUAUUUAACUUUUAAACAAACUCCACUAGAAUCCAAUCUUGCUGCGUGUGAUCUUCUUGCGGUGAUCUUGCCCUGCUCAACGGUGUGCCAUACGCAAACAGCGAUAUGAUGAUGCUUACGCAAGAGAAACUGUGAGAACGCGCGAGCGACAUGGCUGUGCUGGCAGUGAUCGGUGAAGAUCAGCCCAAAAUCAAAGCGCAAUCUCACACGCAACUCGCGAACGCGAGAGUAACCUCGUCUGGGGCUCUCUGUGACUGCCACAUGCGGCCUUUUUCACAUCAGAAACUGUACCAUGACCGUCCAAAGACCAAAGUCAGAGAGAGAUGAGAGCCUUGAAAUAGGGUCGUCUGUGCAUAAGGGCGAUGAGCCAGCUCCUCUCUAAUGCCAACCGAUGCGAACCCAACCAAUGGAAUCUCGUACUGCAAGGGACACCAUCCCACGAAGAGAGUAACAGAGAGACAGAGAGAAAGAGAGCGCGGAUCACACCCUCCGACGGUGCAAGAGAUUGCCCCGCUCGGGAUGAAGUUGGUUGCUGGUGGGUCCGCUGUUGCCGGUUUAGUUUCCAUUAGACGGCGCAACGAGGGCGACACAGCUCUAACAACGCAAACUACGGGUCGCCGUCGCGUUUUUGUGGGAGUUUAUACUCGCUGUGUGUGUGUUUUUGUAUGUGUGAUGUGUGCAGCUUCAACCGUCUUCCCCAGUACCCGAAUGCUCGGUGCGGGUUUGUUAGACUACGUUGCAGUCGAGUGUGAUGCAUAUGGUGGACGCGUUACAGUGUGAAACAGAACAGCGCAAAACCUGCGAACCGAACUCUAGGCACGCGUGUCGCAAAUCAAAGCAA